rnacentral:rRNA from 1 species
GAGUUUGAUCAUGGCUCAGGAUGAACGCCGGCGGUGUGCCUAAUACAUGCAAGUCGUACGCACUGGCCCAACUGAUUGAUGGUGCUUGCACCUGAUUGACGAUGGAUCACCAGUGAGUGGCGGACGGGUGAGUAACACGUAGGUAACCUGCCCCGGAGCGGGGGAUAACAUUUGGAAACAGAUGCUAAUACCGCAUAACAACAAAGGCCACAUGGCUUCUGUUUGAAAGAUGGCUUUGGCCAUCACUCUGGGAUGGACCUGCGGUGCAUUAGCUAGUUGGUAAGGUAACGGCUUACCAAGGCGAUGAUGCAUAGCCGAGUUGAGAGACUGAUCGGCCACAAUGGAACUGAGACACGGUCCAUACUCCUACGGGAGGCAGCAGUAGGGAAUCUUCCACAAUGGGCGCAAGCCUGAUGGAGCAACACCGCGUGAGUGAAGAAGGGUUUCGGCUCGUAAAGCUCUGUUGUUGGAGAAGAACGUGCGUGAG